GCUAGAUGUGGUAGCAUGUGCCUGCAGUCCCAGCUACUCGGAAGGCUGAGACUGCAGGAUCACUUGAGUCCAGGAGUUCUGGGCUGUGGUACGCUAUACUGAUUGGGUGUCUGCAUUAAGUGUGGCAUCAAUAUGGUGACCUCCUGGGUCGGGAGCCACCAGAUUGUCUAAGGAGGGGCCAGCUGGCCCAGGUUGGAAAUGGAGCAGGUCAAAACUCCUGUGCUGGUAAGUAGUGGGAUUAUGCCAGUGAAUAGCCACUGCACUCCAGCCUGGACAACAUAGCAAGACCCUCCCCU
rfam:Otolemur garnettii contig121740, whole genome shotgun sequence.